rnacentral:rRNA from 1 species
AUUGAACGCUGGCGGCAUGCUUUACACAUGCAAGUCGAACGGUAACAGGCCUUCGGGUGCUGACGAGUGGCGAACGGGUGCGUAAUGCAUCGGAACGUACCCAGGGGUGGGGGAUAACGCAGCGAAAGCUGUGCUAAUACUACAUGUGAUCUGAGGAUGAAAGCGGGGGACCGAGCAGCAAUGUUUGGCAUCGCGCCUUUGGAGCGGCCGAUGUCGGAUUAGCUAGUUGGUGGGGUAAAGGCCUACCAAGGCGACGAUCCGUAGCUGGUCUGAGAGGACGACCAGCCAUACUGGGACUUAGCCACGCCCCAGACUCCUACUGUAGGCAGCAGUGGGGAAUUUUGGACAAUGCUCGCAAGCUUGAUCCAGCAAUGCCGCGUGCGGGAAGAAGGCCUUCGGGUUGUAAACCGCUUUUGGCAGGAACGAAACGGUGUCCGCUAAUACCGGGCGCUAAUGACGGUACCUGCAGAAUAAGCACCGGCUAACUACGUG